GUCUAUGUCCCUCAUGGAUGACAGAGCAUGUGUGGAGUGACCAGAUCCCAAAAUAGGAGACAGACACAUCCUCUACCGCUGCUUCUCAGCAUCCUGACGGGACCGUGAUUCAGCCAUGAUUCAGAAGGAAAUGUGUCACAUGGUGAGUCAUCAGCAUCGCUACCUCCAGCACCUCUGGUCUCCCAGCUGAGAGCUGGCAGUCACCUCUAAGAAAGUGAAAGCAGCAGCUAUCAUCACUAUGAGGCAAAAGUAAAGUGGAGACAGUUCAGCUCCCGCUCCGUAGUGUGACCUCUAAAGCCUUUGCACUCUUCAUUUCUGUUUGUUUGUAAGAACAGGCAGCUGCUUAAGGAACACCAUGUUAUUUCAGACUGCAUAUCUAUGAUCUACGACAGGAGGAAAAUUGGAAAAUCACGUGUCACUUUCUUCUUGAUUCUUAACAUAUUAAACUAUAAAAAUACUACUACAGCAAAGAAGCAGUUUGCUUACAAAGACAACUGGAAGUGAAGAAGUUGAGUCCAUCAAAAGAAACAGCACCUGAAAAAAAAAAAUCACAUCUUUUGGGGAAGAUCUAAUGCAGCAAGAGAUCCCACAUUUUGUUUUGGUUUCCCAAAUAAGUAUUUCUGAUUUGCAUAAAGGUUUUGAGUUUUAAUGAGGGGAAGAUUUCUCUCUCUGUGUGGGUCUGGGACAACAGGUGGGUUGUUCUGUAUUACUGUUGUCUUCAUGGGGCCUGGAAAAGGAAUGGGGGUUGCUGGGCAGUCUAAGGAGGGAGAGAUGUGUGGCUGUAGCGCGACCUUUGUCAUACUCCUCUUGAUUUAGAAUAGAAAAAGAAGAAGAGAAAUGAAGGAAAGAGGAACAUGAACUUUUACUCCUACAAGGGCCAUUCCAGUCAGAAAAGAGAUCAUCUACAAAACCCACUUCCUUCUUGACUUCCCUUACAAUUGAAGGUGUACCAUGCUUGGUGCUCUCCAAGGAAUGCCUUGGCAUGCUCUGGGGCAUCAUGUCCCUGCAAUGCACACCAAGUGUGCUUGCUCCGUGGCUCUGCUGGAGAAGAAAAUUCCAUUUGGUAAAUGCAGGCUGUGCAGAGCUGGUUGGCCUCGGAGCCGGGGAAAGGC
ensembl:lncRNA